UACCUGGUUGAUCCUGCCAGUAGCAUAUGCUUGUCUCAAAGAUUAAGCCAUGCAUGUCUAAGUACACACGGGCUUGUACAGUGAAACUGCGAAAGGCUCAUUAAAUCAGUUACGGCUCCUUUGAUCGCUCCAAAGCUAUUUGGAUAACUGUGGUAAUUCUAGAGCUAAUACAUGCUGACGAGCGCUGACCCCCCUGGGGGAAUGCGUGCAUUUAUCAGAUCAAAAACCUAACCGGGGGCUUGCUCCCGGCCGCUUUUGGUGACUCUGGAUAACCUCGAGCAGAUCGCACGUCCUUGGCGGCGGCGACGACUCAUUCGAGUGUCUGCCCUAUCAACUUUCGAUGGUAGUUUCUGCGCCUACCAUGGUGAUCACGGGUAACGGGGAAUCAGGGUUCGAUUCCGGAGAGGGAGCCUGAGAAACGGCUACCACAUCCAAGGAAGGCAGCAGGCGCGCAAAUUACCCACUCCCGACCCGGGGAGGUAGUGACGAAAAAUAACAAUACAGGACUCUUUCGAGGCCCUGUAAUUGGAAUGAGUAC
rnacentral:rRNA from 1 species